UCUAAAACAUAAGCAUGUGUACAUUCUCCUUCAUCCUUUCAUGUGUUCAUUUAUUCUCUUUCUCUCACACACACACUCACACUUUCACACUCUCUUUCUCAGACAGACACACAGACACAAGGCUUCCAGCACCUCAUCCUCCCCGUCAUCAAGUAAACCAGUAAAAAGCAGGAUCAGUGUCCUGCUGAAAUGUCCACCCUUGUUUCAUCUUCAUCCUCCUGAGAUGGCAGCAGAUUUUUAUCAAGAAUGUGUUGAGUCCCUCCCUGAAAAUAGUCUGCAGUGCGGCAUCAUUCUGUCCUCUCUGGGCUGCCAAGGCAAGGAAUUGAUGGCAUCUUGGCGGGUUCGGAUGUUCCAAGAAGCGCCUGUAUCAGGGCAGCUUUGGAGGUUUGGAGGGCUGUCACUAAAUAGGGUAAUUGCAGCUGAACCACCUACUGGCAUAUUUUUAGGAGGUGGGAGGACAGACAGCUCAAGAUUAAAAUGGGUUCCUUGGAAUGGUGAGAUGGUGAAGCUGUGCUGCCCUGCGAUUAUUGAUAAUAUUCUGU